GAGUUUGAUUAUGGCUCAGAUUGAACGCUGGCGGCAUGCUUUACACAUGCAAGUCGGACGGCAGCACAAAGAAGCUUGCUUCUUGGGUGGCGAGUGGCGAACGGGUGAGUAACGCAUCGGAACGUACCGAGUAGUGGGGGAUAACUGCCCGAAAGGAUGGCUAAUACCGCAUACGCUUUGAGAAGGAAAGCGGGGGAUCUUCGGACCUCGCGCUAUUCGAGCGGCCGAUGUCUGAUUAGCUAGUUGGUGGGGUAAAGGCCUACCAAGGCGACGAUCAGUAGCGGGUCUGAGAGGAUGAUCCGCCACACUGGGACUGAGACACGGCCCAGACUCCUACGGGAGGCAGCAGUGGGGAAUUUUGGACAAUGGGCGCAAGCCCGAUCCAGCCAUGCCGCGUGUCUGAAGAAGGCCUUCGGGUUGUAAAGGACUUUUGUCAGGGAAGAAAAGCUUGAGGCUAAUACCCUUGAGUGAUGACGNACCUGAAGAAUAAGCNCCG
rnacentral:rRNA from 1 species